CACACGACUCUCGGCAACGGAUAUCUCGGCUCUCGCAUCGAUGAAGAACGUAGCGAAAUGCGAUACCUGGUGUGAAUUGCAGAAUCCCGCGAACCAUCGAGUCUUUGAACGCAAGUUGCGCCUGAGGCCACUUGGCCGAGGGCACGCCUGCUUGGGCGUCACGU
rnacentral:rRNA from 5 species